ACGGCUCAGUAACACGUAGUCAACAUGCCCAGGGGACGUGGAUAACCUCGGGAAACUGAGGAUAAACCGCGAUAGGCCAUGAUUUCUGGAAUGGUUCAUGGCCGAAAUCUAUAUGGCCCCUGGAUUGGACUGCGGCCGAUCAGGCUGUUGGUGAGGUAAUGGCCCACCAAACCUGUAACCGGUACGGGCUCUGAGAGGAGGAGCCCGGAGAUGGGCACUGAGACAAGGGCCCAGGCCCUAUGGGGCGCAGCAGGCGCGAAAUCUCUGCAAUAGGCGAAAGCUUGACAGGGUUACUCUGAGUGAUUCCCGCUAAGGGGAUCUUUUGGCACCUUUAAAAAUGGUGCAGAAUAAGGGGUGGGCAAGUCUGGUGUCAGCCGCCGCGGUAAUACCAGCACCCCGAGUGGUCGGGACGAUUAUUGGGCCUAAAGCAUCCGUAGCCGGUACUGCAAGUCUUCCGUUAAAUCCACCUGCUUAACAGUUGGGCUGCGGGGGAUACUAUGGAGCUAGGAGGCGGGAGAGGCAAGCGGUACUUAGUGGGUAGGGGUAAAAUCCGUUGAUCCACUGAAGACCACCAGUGGCGAAGGCGGCUUGCCAGAGCGCGCUCGACGGUGAGGGAUGAAAGCUGGGGGAGCAAACCGGAUUAGAUACCCGGGUAGUCCCAGCUGUAAACGAUGCAGACUCGGUGAUGAACAGGCUUCGUGCCUUUUCAGUGCCGCAGGGAAGCCGUUAAGUCUGCCGCCUGGGGAGUACGGUCGCAAGACUGAAACUUAAAGGAAUUGGCGGGGGAGCAC
rnacentral:rRNA from 1 species